AGAGUUUGAUCCUGGCUCAGGACGAACGCUGGCGGCGUGCCUAAUACAUGCAAGUCGAGCGAAUGAUAGGGAGCUUGCUCCCUUGAUUUAGCGGCGGACGGGUGAGUAACACGUGGGCAACCUACCUGUAAGACUGGGAUAACUUCGGGAAACCGGAGCUAAUACCGGAUAAUUUCUUUUCUCGCAUGAGAAGAGAUGGAAAGACGGUUUCGGCUGUCACUUACAGAUGGGCCCGCGGCGCAUUAGCUAGUUGGUGAGGUAAUGGCUCACCAAGGCCACGAUGCGUAGCCGACCUGAAAGGGUGAUCGGCCACACUGGGACUGAGACACGGCCCAGACUCCUACGGGAGGCAGCAGUAGGGAAUCUUCCGCAAUGGACGAAAGUCUGACGGAGCAACGCCGCGUGAACGAAGAAGGCCUUCGGGUCGUAAAGUUCUGUUGUUAGGGAAGAACAAGUACCAGAGUAACUGCUGGUACCUUGACGGUACCUAACCAGAAAGCCACGGCUAACUACGUGCCAGCAGCCGCGGUAAUACGUAGGUGGCAAGCGUUGUCCGGAAUUAUUGGGCGUAAAGCGCGCGCAGGUGGUUCCUUAAGUCUGAUGUGAAAGCCCACGGCUCAACCGUGGAGAGUCAUUGGAAACUGGGGAACUUGAGUGCAGAAGAGGAAAGUGGAGUUCCACGUGUAGCGGUGAAAUGCGUAGAGAUGUGGAGGAACACCAGUGGCGAAGGCGACUUUCUGGUCUGUAACUGACACUGAGGCGCGA
rnacentral:rRNA from 1 species